rnacentral:rRNA from 1 species
UGGCUAACAAUGCAGUCGGCGGUAGCACAGAGAGCUUGCCCGGGUGACGAGCGGCGGACGGGUGAGAAUGUCUGGGAAACUGCCUGAUGGAGGGGGAUCACUGGAAACGGUAGCUAAUACCGCAUAACGUCGCAAGACCAAAGUGGGGGACCUUCGGGCCUCAUGCCAUCAGAUGUGCCCAGAUGGGAUUAGCUAGUAGGUGGGGUAAUGGCUCACCUAGGCGACGAUCCCUAGCUGGUCUGAGAGGAUGACCAGCCACACUGGAACUGAGACACGGUCCAGACUCCUACGGGAGGCAGCAGUGGGGAAUAUUGCACAAUGGGCGCAAGCCUGAUGCAGCCAUGCCGCGUGUAUGAAGAAGGCCUUCGGGUUGUAAAGUACUUUCAGCGAGGAGGAAGGCAUUAAGGUUAAUAACCUUGUGAUUGACGUUACUCGCAGAAGAAGCACCGGCUAACUCCGUGCCAGCAGCCGCGGUAAUACGGAGGGUGCAAGCGUUAAUCGGAAUUACUGGGCGUAAAGCGCACGCAGGCGGUCUGUUAAGUCAGAUGUGAAAUCCCCGGGCUCAACCUGGGAACUGCAUUUGAAACUGGCAGGCUUGAGUCUUGUAGAGGGGGGUAGAAUUCCAGGUGUAGCGGUGAAAUGCGUAGAGAUCUGGAGGAAUACCGGUGGGCGAAAGCGGCCCCCUGGACAAAGACUGACGCUCAGGUGCGAAAAGCGUGGGGGGGAAGCAAAAACAGGGAAUUAGAUU